rnacentral:rRNA from 1 species
AGUGAACGCUGGCGGUAGGCCUAACACAUGCAAGUCGAACGGCAGCACAGUAAGAGCUUGCUCUUACGGGUGGCGAGUGGCGGACGGGUGAGGAAUACAUCGGAAUCUACUUUUUCGUGGGGGAUAACGUAGGGAAACUUACGCUAAUACCGCAUACGACCUACGGGUGAAAGCAGGGGAUCUUCGGACCUUGCGCGAUUGAAUGAGCCGAUGUCGGAUUAGCUAGUUGGCGGGGUAAAGGCCCACCAAGGCGACGAUCCGUAGCUGGUCUGAGAGUAUGAUCAGACACACUGGAACUGAGACACGGUCCAGACUCCUACGGGAGGCAGCAGUGGGGAAUAUUGGACAAUGGGCGCAAGCCUGAUCCAGCCAUACCGCGUGGGUGAAGAAGGCCUUCGGGUUGUAAAGCCCUUUUGUUGGGAAAGAAAAGCAGCAGGUUAAUACCCCGCUGUUCUGACGGUACCCAAAGAAUAAGCACCGGCUAACUUCGUG